AGGUCCCACCGAGAUUUGAACUCGGAUCACUGGAUUCUGAGUCCAAAGUGCUAAACAUUACACCAUGGGGCC
rnacentral:tRNA from 1 species